AUUGAACGCUGGCGGCAUGCCUUACACAUGCAAGUCGAACGGUAACAGGUCUUCGGAUGCUGACGAGUGGCGAACGGGUGAGUAAUACAUCGGAACGUGCCUAGUAGUGGGGGAUAACUACUCGAAAGAGUGGCUAAUACCGCAUGAGAUCUACGGAUGAAAGCAGGGGAUCGCAAGACCUUGUGCUACUAGAGCGGCCGAUGGCAGAUUAGGUAGUUGGUGGGAUAAAAGCUUACCAAGCCAACGAUCUGUAGCUGGUCUGAGAGGACGAUCAGCCACACUGGGCCUGGGCCACGGCCAAGACUCCUACGGGAGGCAGCAGUGGGGAAUGUUGGACAGUGGGCGAAAGCCUGAUCCAGCAAUGCCGCGUGCAGGAUGAAGGCCUUCGGGUUGUAAACUGCUUUUGUACGGAACGAAAAGCCCUGGGUUAAUACCCUGGGGUCAUGACGGUACCGUAAGAAUAAGCACCGGCUAACUACGUGCCAGCCGCCGCCGUAAUAC
rnacentral:rRNA from 1 species